CUUCACCAUCAUCUUCUUCUCCUUCUUCCUUUCUCUCAUCCCUUACUUAUUCUUCUAUUCUUCUUAAAAAAAAAAAGGGAAAUCUGAGAAUUGCUUGGGUCUUUUUUUCUUCUUCCUUUUGUUACAGAUGUGUAUUCAUGUGGUUGAGUUAUUUAUUAUGAGAAUCAUUGAUGGUUUUAUGUGGAUUAUUUAUGCAAAUUUAGAUCAAGUAGGUGUGGAUCGAACUCUUCAUGCUAGUUUGUUUUGAACAACCUUGCCAACAUAGCAUAUCACUUGCUCGAUGUAAUGCCUUAGUGAGACUUCAUUUAUUUCUGAAACUUUGUUUCAAAAGGUUUUGAGCGGUUGAUGUUUGAACUUGUGGGAAUGGCUUCAAUUUUUGUCAUAAUAGACUUGGUGAUGCCUUUGACAUCGUCUCCUGUUAUCUAACUUCAUCAUGGUACUUGAUUAUCAAGUAAUGUUUUAGCCUUUUUGAGAAAGGAUGAAGUCAUUGUUAGCCAUGUUUUCAUAGGAAGUAUACAAAAGGUUAUGUUGAGUUAUAAAUGAUCAAGCUUUAUGUUAAUUUGUUUGAGCAACUAAAUUUUAAAUGCCAUGAUUAUAUUCUUCCAAGUCCAUUUGAACGGCUAUAUUUGAUGACAUCUUCUCUUUAUUCCCCUUCUUAUCUUCUUUCUUAAAAGAUAACAAUGAAUGUGGGGUUAAUCCAUUAAGUAAGGUUGCCGGCUCAUUGUUUGGCUUCUAUGGUAAACUCCAUAUGGAUUUCGUUUGGAUAAAACACCACCUUUUUUUUAUAAGCUGUUGAUUAUGAAGAUCAAGCCAUAUGAGGUUGUAGAUUGUGAAGGCUCUUUUAUAUAUUGCUUAAAUGGCUUCAUUCAAAUAGAUGUAUAAAUCAUGGCUUUCAUGGUGGUUUGUUUUGUGUGAUUCUACAACUAUUGCACACCAAGUAUUUGGUGAAAUGUCGUUAAGGAAAAGUCGUAACUGUUCUGCUCAUAUAGAGGUUCCAUGUGAUAGUCUCACACGUAUGGAUGCUUUUCCAAAAUCAUUGGUUGGAAGUUUAGAAAAGAAAAGAAAAAAAACUGAAAACGAAUUUGUUUCUUGGAUGAAAUGUGUAGAGUUAUAAAUCUUCCUUUUAUUUACUUAGCGCUUAUAAAUAAGUUUUGUAUCUUUCAAAAGAGGUGAGCUCUCUAAGUUUAUCUCUCAUGCAUCUAAUUACCCUUCUUCCUUAAGUGGAUGCAUCUUGUUCCUCUUUUAUUCGGUGAAGUUUUGUUGGUGUAGGGAAUAGUGGUUCCACACAGAUCUUUUAUGUUGUUUUAAAACUCUUGGAGGUGAUGAAGGAUUUGUUUCAUAAUUGAAGAGUUGAUGUAGCUUGACAUUCUUUUAGUGGUUAAAAGAAAGGAUCUAUAUGGUAAGAUUUAACUUUUGAGGGAUAUUUAUUGUUGUUGUUGUACCUCUUGGAUUGAAUUUUGAUUUUUUACGCCUUACUCUAUCUAGAUACGAGCUUUAUCAUUAUAACAUGAGACAUCACCCUUAACAAAAAGCAUUGUUGUGAGCAUAUGAAUUUUACCGUAUUGGAAGGUUGGCCCAACAUAUGAACCGUUGUGGAUUCUUUUUGCUUUUUGAAUUAUACACUUACAAACUCUCUUGAAACGUUUGACGAUGCAUAAUAUGGAGGUUGUUGGAAAGGUUACAUAUAUGUGUUGAUUUGUUAUCAUAAGAUUUAUUUAAUGCAAGCCAAAGAAGUGAAUGAGCACAAAAGUUCUGUAACUUUCUUUUACAUACAUUCAGGAUCAUUUGAUGCAUAUCUUUUUUGAGGUGGGAAAACAUGUAUAUGUUUUAUGAUUCUUCUGUAAGUUCGAUUUGGUGUGAUGAAAAUUUUAUGUUGGAUAUAGCUUUAUGCGAUAUGAAUUGUUAUGAGCAUGGGCAUUUCCUUCACAAUUUCUUUCUUAUAGAGAUGUUGAAUAUAUGUUUCACAAUGAUUUUUUUUUCCUGGAAUGGAGGUACUUGAAUAAACUUCUUUCUUAAAACGAGCAACAAGUUUUAUUAGUUACCUUUAUAUAAUUGAGAAAAGAAAGCUAAAACUUUUUUUUUUAUUUUAUCAUUGCACCUUUUAAGUUGAGAUGACAUUACUGAAUUCUCUAACAAGCUUUAUGCUUCAUUAGUAUCAUAUAUUGAAGGUUGUCUCACGUAUGGUUAAAAAUGUUUUGAUUAGAAAAUCUUACAUGUAUGCUUGCACAGUUGCACUUUUACAACUCUGCUUACACUUAACUUGUUAGUAUCAUAAUGAGGGUUUUUUAGAGAGUCUUCAUGUGCUUCAACUUGGUUUAAUAAGAGCUUGGCACGCUUCAUGAAAUAGUUUUGUUUUAGUUUUGGAAUGAAUUGUGAGCAUCUUAUUGGAAAGUCUUAUGAACGGUUUUGUGUUGGAAAGUGUUACGAAUUGCUUCAUACGGGAAAAGUUUUACGAACCACUUUAUAUUGAAAAGUUUUGCGAAUGUUUUAUGACGGAGAGCCUUAUGAAAAUUUUCUUAUUGAAAGGUUUUAAUGGUUCAUGCCAAAAUAUGAGAAAGCACUUGAUUGUUUUUUGUGUCAAAAGAGUUUUGGUGUUUUGAUUUUCUUUUCGAUAAGAGUUUUAUAUGCCAUUUCAUUUGGAAGGUUUCUUAAGUCAUUUUUGGGAUUUAUGGUUUUAUGAUGAGUUUUGUGUAGCAAGGUCUCUUUGAUGUCUUUGCUUUAGAACGAAUGAUCUUGUUUAUGUGGGUGAUCUUCCUUAUUUGGAUUGACUUUCUUUUACUAGUGUUUGCUUCUAAAAGUGGGGUUUUGGAUAAAUAUAAAAAAAGAUGACUUGUUUUGAGUUUAGUUUUUGGGAGUUUUUUCCUUCCGCCGCUUUGAGCUUUGUUUAGAUAAUAGCUUAGUUAGUCGUGUUAAAUGUAUAAAGUACUUUUUUUUGGAAUGUGGGGACAGCAAAGGGCAUUGAAAAUACCUUCUUCCUUAUUCGUAUCACAUCGAAUUGGGGAGAAGGUUGUUUUAGAGGCACACUUGGCUUCAAAGAAGCCCACAACAACAAUGCUUACAUUCAAUUUCUAGCACCUAGGUCUUCGUAGCUUAUUGUAGAUGCCACCUUUAGGAUUUUUCUUAAGUGGAUACCCACUAACAUAACGCAGACUCAACCCUAUUAUUCAAUCUAAAUCUAAUGUGAUUUCAGACAUAAUAAUCUAAUCAAAUGCCAUCGAGCCUAGUUGGGUUUGGGUCGAUUUCAAUCUAAACUCGACGAGUUCAGCCAAACAUAUUAAAAUCUGCAUUUUCUUUUUCUUCACUAAUUACAUUUAUCAAGAAUUUACUCAAAUAAAAUGUUAAAAUCAAUUAAAUAAAUUUUAAAUAAAUGUAUCAUUAAUCAAGAAAUUUAAUAGAAUAAAUUUACUAAAAAGAAAUUAACUUAUUUAAUGAAAUUUAAGAAUAUCUACUAAAAUAAUUUGAUCAAAUCUUUAAUAAAUAAAGUAAGCUAAAUAAAUUAUAACUCUUAAUUAAAAUUGGUUCAAGUAUCAUUGAUGGGUUCGGCUAGUGCCGGUUCGAACCGCCCUUCCCCCACGACCUCCUCCUUAUUUUUCAAAACCGCCCCCACUGCCUUCUAUUCAUUCGCAAAAAUAAACUACCCAGCCCGCUCACUCUCUCAUUCGGACGAAGCAUCCCAUGUCCCCUGCAGUUCGCGAAAAGCCCAGGCUCGUCUCCUCCCAGUUCGCGAAAUGCCCUAUGCCCCUCCCCCAUCGCCAGCCCUAGCCGACAGAACCCCUAGACGCAGACCUCCUCCCUUCUGUCCGUUCCGCCCCAAGGAAGCUGAACAGAGACCUCAUCCUCUCUCGCCGACUUGCCCUAGCCGCCGAAGCUUUUUGCUGUAGGUAUAUCUUAUACAUUCUCUUCUUUUUCUUUUUCUCAAUCUUCUUUUUCCUUUCUUUCUUACAUUUCAUUUAUAUAUUCUUUCCAUUGCUUCUUGAUAGAAUGAAAGAGAGAUGUGUCUUAAUUGGUUUAUUUAAAAAAAAAUCAAAGAAAGUUGCUUCCAUUUACUUUUUAAUUUAAAAAGCAAGAGCUAGAUUUACAUUUUCUUUCUCAAGAAAUGAUUUUUUAUAUGGACUCACUUUAUGUUAGGGUUUAUAAGAGUGUAUGGAUCAUCCCUUCUUUAUGCGGAUCGUUUUGUUCUUAACACAAAUAAUCUUGGGUUUAUAAGUUUGAUGGCAGAAGUGUUCUUCUUCUUAUUCACUUUGAGGGGCACAUUAUUUUUGGCCACAGAGAAUCAAUAGAAGUCGAAAUGUUAAAAUCUUGCCUAUAAUCCGUUUGGUCUUCACAAAUCUGAGAGAUGUUUUGUCUGUUUAAGCCUCACUUAUAUUUGGUUUUUACAAAUCUGCUAAUACCUACACUUCUUGGUGAUGAAAUAGGUAAUGAAUGUUGUGCUCACGUUGUUGGUUUUCUGAGAAUCUUGAUGACAAAUUGAUAAGGUCUGUUGUCUUUAGUUUUAGUUGGAAACAGGAUGGAUUGGUUAAUUGAAAUCUAUGUUGGAAAGUCUUUUGAACUAUCAGAUGAGCAUGAAGUUGCAAAACUUUCUCUUUCUUGUCUCAGAAAUUCAUUUGACAUAAGUUUUAAGUUGGCAUGAAUGAGUGAAACAAAGAUUUAUUGUUACACUUUGCCUUCAAGUUGAAAUGUAAGAAAUAUAAGAAGUUUCCUUUAUGAGUAAGUGGAGAUUUGCAAGAUAUUCCGUAUUGCUUUGUGUGGUGUUUUGGGAAAGGGAAUGGUAUAAUUUUGUUUUACAUUAAAAAAAAAAGAGAGAGAGAAGCAAGCAGUUGUUGAGAGAAAGGUGUAUGUUGAAAAACAAAGAAUGGUGAAAAGAUAUUUGUUUUAAAAAGUGUGUGAAAAGUGAUUUGUGCUUGUAUUGGAAAGUGUUUGUGUGUAAGAUUGAGGAGUGUGUAUUUCUAGUGGUAUUUUAAAGAGGGUGAUUGUUGAAGGGUGAGGUAUUUUGGAGAGAUAAGGUGUGGAUGUUGGAGAGUAGAUUAGUUGGGAGUCUACUAGAAAAUGAAGUUGUUGAAAAACAAAGCUCUCUUUCCCUCUCUCUACUUCUCUCUUUCCCUCUCUCUACUAGACCUCAUCCUCUCUCGCCGACUUGCCCUAGCCGCCGACGCUUUUUGCUGUAGGUAUAUCUUAUACAUUCUCUUCUUUUUCUUUUUCUCAAUCUUCUUUUUCCUUUCUUUCUUACAUUUCAUUCAUAUAUUCUUUCCAUUGCUUCUUGAUAGAAUGAAAGAGAGAUGUGUCUUAAUUCGUUUAUUUAAAAAAAAAUCAAAGAAAGUUGCUUCCAUUUACUUUUUAAUUUAAAAAGCAAGAGCUAGAUUUACAUUUUCUUUCUCAAAAAAUGAUUUUUUAUAUGGACUCACUUUAUGUUAGGGUUUAUAAGAGUGUAUGGAUCAUCCCUUCUUUAUGCGGAUCGUUUUGUUCUUAACACAAAUAAUCUUGGGUUUGUAAGUUUGAUGGCAGAAGUGUUCUUCUUCUUAUUCACUUUAAGGGCACAUUAUUUUUGGCCACAGAGAAUCAAUAGAAGUCGAAAUGUUAAAAUCUUGCCUAUAAUCCGUUUGGUCUUCACAAAUCUGAGAGAUGUUUUGUCUGUUUAAGCCUCACUUAUAUUUGGUUUUUACAAAUCUGCUAAUACCUACACUUCUUGGUGAUGAAAUAGGUAAUGAAUGUUGUGCUCACGUUGUUGGUUUUCUGAGAAUCUUGAUGACAAAUUGAUAAGGUCUGUUGUCUUUAGUUUUAGUUGGAAACAGGAUGGAUUGAUUAAUUGAAAUCUAUGUUGGAAAGUCUUUUGAACUAUCGGAUGAGCAUGAAGUUGCAAAACUUUCUCUUUCUUGUCUCAGAAAUUCAUUUGACAUAAGUUUUAAGUUGGCAUGAAUGAGUGAAACAAAGAUUUAUUGUUACAAUUUGCCUUCAAGUUGAAAUGUAAGAAAUAUAAGAAGUUUCCUUUAUGAGUAAGUGGAGAUUUGCAAGAUAUUCCGUAUUGCUUUGUGUGGUGUUUUGGGAAAGGGAAUGGUAUAAUUUUGUUUUACAUUAAAAAAAAAAGAGAGAGAGAAGCAAGCAGUUGUUGAGAGAAAGGUGUAUGUUGAAAAACAAAGAAUGGUGAAAAGAUAUUUGUUUUAAAAAGUGUGUGAAAAGUAAUUUGUGCUUGUAUUGGAAAGUGUUUGUGUAAGAUUGAGGAGUGUGUAUUUCGAGUGGUAUUUUAAAGAGGGUGAUUGUUGAAGGGUGAGGUAUUUUGGAGAGAUAAGGUGUGGAUGUUGGAGAGUAGAUUAGUUGGGAGUCUACUAGAAAAUGAAGUUGUUGAAAAACAAAGCUCUCUUUCCCUCUCUCUACUUCUCUCUCCCCUUUUUACUCUCCCUUUCUUGUGCCUCGGGGUGAAUGUUGGAAAGAUAUACAAUUUGCUUUAAAAAAAAAGAAAGUAAAAGGUUUCAAAAGCAAAGACAACAAAACCAGUGUUUAAGCCCGAAAAAAUGUACGUUUAUAUUUAAAUUAUGAUUUCAAUUGUUUUAAUUAUAAUUAUUUAGUGUGCUUCUAAUACAUGUUUUCUCUUCUUUAUUUGCAUGAACUGUGAGGAAUUGUAUCGGUCGAGUGACCAAAAAGACAAUGGACUAAAGGCAUCAGUCGCCUCCAUCCGAUCGGGUGGAAGUGCUACGGGCGGAACCAUCGUGUCGUAGCCCCCGGUGACUCUUUAUAUAGAAUCAAAAUUUAUUUUUUGAAAAAAUUUGUGCGAGCCCGUAUAUUAAUGAAGAAGAUUACAUAAAAAUCCAAAAAAUCCCAAAAAAAAAGGGAGGAAGGUCGAAGGAGUUCAAAAAUUACAAGUGAAGAAAACCAAAGCCUAUAACAGCAGAAAACCAAAACGACUGCAAUAACCCAAAAGAAGAUAGAAUAAUGCGAGGCAACCCAGCUAGCCAGGACUCAGUUAAUUGUUAUCCGUCAGCAUGUCGAUUCGCGAAGAGAAUCCCUGGUUGCCCAAAGAUCAUCCAAGGAAUAGAAAAAUAGAGGGUAGAACGUUGUCGUCACUGUCAGCACCAAAAUUCCACUCCAGAUAGCCAAACCAAGGCGGCAGCAGCAGGGAGAGAAAAUUAACAAGCCAAUCCCAAAAGUUCCUCACAAUUUUCCACUUACUGACAUAAGCGGAUACCACAAGAUAAUAUUGAAAACAGUGGAGGAGAACCAAAACUAACAGAGCAUCCACAGCCACAGCAACCCAAGGGAAGUCAUGCUUGAUUACAGCAAAUCCAAAAGAUAUAAUAAAUAGAACAGCAAGCAAUGAGGAAUAGAAGAUUUUUAACAUUUUUCCCUGCAAAGAAAAAUAGCAAGCCUCGAGAGGUGAGCAGAAGAAAUGGUGAGCUGAGCUUGGUCAGGGAAGGCGAAUCGACUGCUUCGAGUAGCGAUUGGGAGUUCAGAUGGUGGAGAGGACUGCUAGGUUCCCAAUGCUUACACUGAUAUAAAUGGUCGGAAAAUUGUGGUUGGAAUGUAAUGGUUGAAGAAUUGUAGUAUAUUGAUGUAGAUGGAUGGCUUUCGUUGGUGGUUGAAGGAUUUGGAUUGAAAACAUUUUGUAUUAAUUUCAGGACCAUUGAGACUAUGAUUUCACUUAGCUUAUAGUUCAAACGAAGUACAUCCGACAAAAUGAAUGCUGCUUGACAAAUUUUGUAUAUAAUAACUAAAUGUUAAGAAUAUUGAUACACUUGUAUGUAACGCCCUCUGUGAUGAUGGCAGAGAAAAUUUUUCAA